rnacentral:tRNA from 1 species
GCCUUCGUGGUGUAGUGGACAGCCCGCUCGACUCUAAUCGAGAGGUCCGUGGUUCGAUUCCCGACGAAAGCG